AACGGGGAAGCCGGUGCGAAUCCGGCGCGGGCCCGCCACUGUCAGCGAGGACGUUCGCCGCACGCCGAGGUCGGCAGCCACUGGCGCAUCGAUUGCGCCGGGAAGGCGCGGUGGAAAUGCUCGCGAGCCAGGAAACCC
rnacentral:ncRNA from 21 species